UGGAGGCUGGGGUGGGGGGCUCCUGCGGCAGGGAGUAGGGAAAAGUAAGCUGCUUGAGGGACCGGACGAAGGACGGAACGACAUUGUACUGGUCCAAAGGCAGCAAAAGGCUGGAAGGAAAGAACCAGAGGGAAACGCGAACCAGAGGUGAUAAUUAGGUCUGUAGGAUCAGACUGAGGAACUCAGGAGAACCAGGGAAGCUGCAUGGAAGCUGCAUGAAGAGCACCCUGAAAGAAAAGAGAAAGACUCCACCCUGUGACCCCCAGAUCUGAGCUGCAAUGUCAGUAGAGAGCAAGUGUGGCUGCUCCAAAUGCAGGAGCCAAGGUCUGGCCUAGGUUAAAGCCAAUGGAACCACAGUUGGUGUAUGGGAUGAUGGAUCUUUCCAAAGCAAGACACCCACAAAAAUCAGCAAACAUGCAUACAUAGACAUACAGAUGCAAGGUUUGGGAAGGGUCAGGAGCACCCUUCUGCCACGCCCACUGUGAAGAGCUGCAGCUUCUGGCCACUGGAAUUUAAGAAACGAUGUUCAGAGACCAACCCCAGCUGCCUUCACACAGCAGCCUCAACUGGAAGAGGAGCA